rnacentral:misc_RNA from 1 species
GAGCAAACAGUAAGAAUUUCCCCUUGUACAUAGAUCAGUUAUAAUACGAUAUGAUUUAGUGAUGAACAACAAAGCUCACUUACACUAGAUGUGUAGCUGCAAAUUAUGCUACAUUUAUAACAUCCAAAUAACUUGAGUCACACGCCUGCUCUUCUAGGGAAGAUUCUCAAUAAUCUUAUGAAAAUCAACAGAUUUAACUGGAUUUGAUGGAUCAUGCAGAUGCCUAAUUAAUGUGAAUCGAUCUCCCUACAAACACUGGUAAGACGGAGAAGCCCACCGGAAUCUUCAUUAACCAACCUUUCCGGCAGAGAUGGGCGGAGCUCCCAUGAACACUCAUAAGAAGCACACUGUUGAGAGUAAAGCAAUUGUCACAUAUUUUUCUUUU